UGCAAGUCGAACGGCAGCACGGGAGCUUGCUCCUGGUGGCGAGUGGCGAACGGGUGAGUAAUAUAUCGGAACGUGCCCUAGAGUGGGGGAUAACUAGUCGAAAGAUUAGCUAAUACCGCAUACGAUCUACGGAUGAAAGUGGGGGAUCGCAAGACCUCAUGCUCGUGGAGCGGCCGAUAUCUGAUUAGCUAGUUGGUGGGGUAAAAGCUCACCAAGGCGACGAUCAGUAGCUGGUCUGAGAGGACGACCAGCCACACUGGAACUGAGACACGGUCCAGACUCCUACGGGAGGCAGCAGUGGGGAAUUUUGGACAAUGGGCGCAAGCCUGAUCCAGCAAUGCCGCGUGAGUGAAGAAGGCCUUCGGGUUGUAAAGCUCUUUUGUCAGGGAAGAAACGGGUGAGGUUAAUACCUUUGCCUAAUGACGGUACCUGAAGAAUAAGCACCGGCUAACUACGUGCCAGCAGCCGCGGUAAUACGUAGGGUGCAAGCGUUAAUCGGAAUUACUGGGCGUAAAGCGUGCGCAGGCGGUUAUACAAGACAGAUGUGAAAUCCCCGGGCUCAACCUGGGAAUUGCAUUUGUGACUGUAUGGCUAGAGUGUGUCAGAGGGGGGUAGAAUUCCACGUGUAGCAGUGAAAUGCGUAGAUAUGUGGAGGAAUACCGAUGGCGAAGGCAGCCCCCUGGGAUAACACUGACGCUCAUGCACGAAAGCGUGGGGAGCAAACAGGAUUAGAUACCCUGGUAGUCCACGCCCUAAACGAUGUCUACUAGUUGUCGGGUCUUAAUUGACUUGGUAACGCAGCUAACGCGUGAAGUAGACCGCCUGGGGAGUACGGUCGCAAGAUUAAAACUCAAAGGAAUUGACGGGGACCCGCACAAGCGGUGGAUGAUGUGGAUUAAUUCGAUGCAACGCGAAAAACCUUACCUACCCUUGACAUGUACGGAAU
rnacentral:rRNA from 1 species